UACGUAGGGGGCAAGCGUUGUCCGGAUUUAUUGGGCGUAAAGAGCGUGUAGGCGGCCAGAUAGGUCCGUUGUGAAAACUCGAGGCUCAACCUCGAGACGUCGGUGGAAACCGUUUGGCUAGAGUCCGGAAGAGGAGAGUGGAAUUCCCGGUGUAGCGGUGAAAUGCGCAGAUAUCGGGAAGAACACCCGUGGCGAAGGCGGCUCUCUGGGACGGUACUGACGC
rnacentral:rRNA from 1 species